CAGUCGCCGCGGUAAUACAGAGGGUGCGAGCGUUAAUCGGAUUUACUGGGCGUAAAGCGUGCGUAGGCGGCUUUUUAAGUCGGAUGUGAAAUCCCUGAGCUUAACUUAGGAAUUUCAUUCGAUACUGGGAAGCUAGAGUAUGGGAGAGGAUGGUAGAAUUCCAGGUGUAGCGGUGAAAUGCGUAGAGAUCUGGAGGAAUACCGAUGGCGAAGGCAGCCAUCUGGCCUAAUACUGACGCUGAGGUACGAAAGCAUGGGGAGCAAACAGGAUUAGAUACCCCAGUAGUCCCUGUCUCUUAUAC
rnacentral:rRNA from 1 species